AAUAUGGGGUUUACUAUCCACACCUAUACGAAGAAUUAUUUUUUCGUGAUUUUUCGUAUGGGUGUGGAUAGUAAACCCCACAUU
rnacentral:sRNA from 1 species